rnacentral:rRNA from 1 species
UACGAAGGGGGCUAGCGUUGUUCGGAUUUACUGGGCGUAAAGCGCACGUAGGCGGGUCGUUAAGUCAGGGGUGAAAUCCCGGAGCUCAACUCCGGAACUGCCUUUGAUACUGGCGACCUUGAGGCUGGAAGAGGUUAGUGGAAUUCCCAGUGUAGAGGUGAAAUUCGUAGAUAUUGGGAAGAACACCGGUGGCGAAGGCGACAUCCUGGACCGGUAUUGACGCUGAGGCGCGAAAGCCAGGGGAGCAAACGGG